rnacentral:rRNA from 1 species
AUGGUGAUCAGGAUGCAGGCGAGCUCCGACAAGGGCCAGCACUCCAAGGCCAUGAAGAUCGCGGCGGCAAUCGACGGAGUGGAGUCGGUGACGCUGGCGGGGGAGGGGCGGAACCUGCUGCGGGUGGUCGGCGAGGGCGUCGACUCCAACCACCUCACCAGCAGGCUGCGGCGGAAGGUGGGCCACGCCGACAUCGUCGAGCUGCGCACCCUGCAGGCGGGCCGCGGCUACGCGAGCGCCACCAACGCUGCCGCCGGAGCCGGCUACCACUCUUCGCAGGCCGCGGGCGCGGGCGAACGCGGGGACGCUGCCGCCUAUGGGGGGUACAACAGUUACACUACGGCCGGCUACUUGCCGGUGGCCGCCGAUCAGUACCACCGCCAGCAGCAGCAGCCGUCGUACGAGUACGAGUACUACCCGCCGGCGCCGUACCCUGCCACCGUCGUCCACCACGAGUACACGACCGGCGAUCCGACCGGCUGCUCCAUCAUGUAG